rnacentral:rRNA from 1 species
UACGGAGGGUGCGAGCGUUAAUCGGAAUUACUGGGCGUAAAGCGCACGUAGGCGGUUAGGUAAGUCGGAUGUGAAAGCCCUGGGCUUAACCUGGGAACUGCAUUCGAUACUGCCUGGCUAGAGUAUGGGAGAGGGAAGCGGAAUUUCCGGUGUAGCGGUGAAAUGCGUAGAUAUCGGAAGGAACACCAAUGGCGAAGGCAGCUUCCUGGCCCAAUACUGACGCUCAGGUGCGAAAGCGUGGGGAUCAAACAGG